rnacentral:lncRNA from 1 species
CAAAGUUCUUCUACUUCCUGUUCUUCAUAGUUGCAAGCUUCAACUACUUCACAUUGUUUGGCAUGAUGCUGGUGGCGUUGACCCCGUCCUCGAUGCUCGCAAACAUACUGAUAUCUUUUGUACUUCCUCUUUGGAACCUGUUUGCCGGGUUCCUCGUCGUCAGACCGGUAUGUAAGCAGGCCAUUUUUUUUGUUGACUGGGGAUUGUGAUGAUGACUGAUGAUUAAUGGUUGGUGUUAUUGUUGUUGCAGUUAAUACCGAUCUGGUGGAGGUGGUACUACUGGGCCAACCCUGUGUCGUGGACAAUCUACGGUGUGGUGGCGUCGCAGUUUGGCGACGACAAGAGUCCUCUGGAGGUCCCCGGUGGGAUCGACACGUUUGUGAAUCAGUACUUGGAGGACAACCUGGGCAUCAAGCAUGAUUUCCUUGG